rnacentral:lncRNA from 1 species
AACCACACCUCUAAUAGAGAACAUUAAUUCAUGGAGUUGCAUUCUUUCUUUUUUGUUUCUUUAGAACACGCAAACUUCCAGUGUCUCCCAUGGCUGGUAUUUUUUGUAUUGCGUAUGUGAUAUUGUGAAAUCUAGGGACCAAAUUCAGCUCUUUGGCAAGCAAGUGGCCUUGUUGACACUUAAAACAGGUCAAAGAAAGAAUGUAAGUUUUGCCUGGAAACAAGAGUCCCAUGACACUUUGCAGUUAAGCUAACUUUAAGGAGUGAAAUUUUAUUAAGCAGUAAUCUUUAGCAUAUUUUGAAAUUGCUGCAACAGAUAUUUUAGUAACAUUAAACACAAAAGUGUGCAAGAGGUAUAAGAAAUAUCAUUACCUCAACAAAGGAAAUAAAUAAUAACUAACCAUAAGGUGUUGAGGUAGUUGGAACAUUACACGGGAAUAAGGAACUUAGAAAAUAACCUGAGAUAAGAAGAAUGUACCAAAAGGAAUAAAUAGAUAAGGGUUGGAAUGAUAAACAAUAGAGUAAUAAGGAUAUAAUUACCCUAAGAAAUCAAGAGAAAAUAAGACCAUCUGGAGAUUGAACGCAGGCUGUCAGAGAGAACUACGGGCGUUGGGGAAGGUCUUCUGCAGUAAUUGAGAUCUCCACUCCAUUUGUGGGUAUCGCGCCCUAUACCUGCUGUGAACCACUGCUGGGACUACACAUUCAAGAAGAUGAUGCAGUUAGAACUGUGUUUCAUCAGAAGCUGAGUGUUUUGAGAUGUGAGUACUCUCUUUUCAUUUGCUUACCCAGAAGAGGAAGGUAUGACCCACUGAUUUUAAUGGAAGUUAAGGGCAACAGGAGAGCCCAAUAUCAUGAGGUACAGUGCAGGGAGGAGAGGAACCUCCACGGGGCUUCUCCUCCAUACAACUGGUCAGGGAGUAGGUGUGCAAGGAUGAGAAGUAUGUGUAGCCUUGUCUCCACUCGCCCAAUGCAUGGACCACAUGGCUGAGCUGGCAAAGAGAGGGAAAUAUUAAUAUUGUGCACCAAAUAAAGUCUGGUGCAGAUUACA